GAUGAACGCUGGCGGCGUGCCUAAUACAUGCAAGUCGAACGCUGAAGGAGGAGCUUGCUCUUCUGGAUGAGUUGCGAACGGGUGAGUAACGCGUAGGUAACCUGCCUGGUAGCGGGGGAUAACUAUUGGAAACGAUAGCUAAUACCGCAUGACAACAGUUAUUGCAUGAUAACUGUUUAAAAGGGGCAACUGCUCCACUACCAGAUGGACCUGCGUUGUAUUAGCUAGUUGGUGAGGUAACGGCUCACCAAGGCGACGAUACAUAGCCGACCUGAGAGGGUGAUCGGCCACACUGGGACUGAGACACGGCCCAGACUCCUACGGGAGGCAGCAGUAGGGAAUCUUCGGCAAUGGACGGAAGUCUGACCGAGCAACGCCGCGGGAGUGAAGAAGGUUGUCGGAUCGGAAAGCUCUGUUGUAAGGGAAGAAAGAGUGUGAGAGUGGAAAGUUCACACUGUGACGGUAUCUUACCAGAAAGGGACGGCUAACUACGUG
rnacentral:rRNA from 1 species